rnacentral:rRNA from 1 species
GACGGAGGGUGCUAGCGUUGUUCGGAAUCACUGGGCGUAAAGGGCGCGUAGGCGGCCUCAGGUGUCGGAUGUGAAAGCCCGGGGCUCAACCCCGGAGGUGCAUCCGAAACUCUGGGGCUGGAGGUCGGAAGAGGAGGGUGGAAUACCCAGUGUAGAGGUGAAAUUCGUAGAUAUUGGGUGGAACACCGGUGGCGAAAGCGGCUCUCUGGUCCGGUACUGACGCUGAGGAGCGAAAGCGUGGGUAGCAAACAGG